AGAGUUUGAUCAUGGCUCAGAUUGAACGCUGGCGGCAGGCCUAACACAUGCAAGUCGAACGGUAACAGGAAACAGCUUGCUGUUUCGCUGACGAGUGGCGGACGGGUGAGUAAUGUCUGGGAAACUGCCUGAUGGAGGGGGAUAACUACUGGAAACGGUAGCUAAUACCGCAUAACGUCGCAAGACCAAAGAGGGGGACCCUCGGGCCUCUUGCCAUCGGAUGUGCCCAGAUGGGAUUAGCUUGUUGGUGGGGUAACGGCUCACCAAGGCGACGAUCCCUAGCUGGUCUGAGAGGAUGACCAGCCACACUGGAACUGAGACACGGUCCAGACUCCUACGGGAGGCAGCAGUGGGGAAUAUUGCACAAUGGGCGCAAGCCUGAUGCAGCCAUGCCGCGUGUAUGAAGAAGGCCUUCGGGUUGUAAAGUACUUUCAGCGGGGAGGAAGGGAGUAAAGUUAAUACCUUUGCUCAUUGACGUUACCCGCAGAAGAAGCACCGGCUAACUCCGUGCCAGCAGCCGCGGUAAUACGGAGGGUGCAAGCGUUAAUCGGAAUUACUGGGCGUAAAGCGCACGCAGGCGGUUUGUUAAGUCAGAUGUGAAAUCCCCGGGCUCAACCUGGGAACUGCAUCUGAUACUGGCAAGCUUGAGUCUCGUAGAGGGGGGUAGAAUUCCAGGUGUAGCGGUGAAAUGCGUAGAGAUCUGGAGGAAUACCGGUGCGAAGGCGGCCCCCUGGACGAAGACUGACGCUCAGGUGCGAAAGCGUGGGGAGCAAACAGGAUUAGAUACCCUGGUAGUCCACGCCGUAAACGAUGUCGACUUGGAGGUUGUGCCCUUGAGGCGUGGCUUCCGGAGCUAACGCGUUAAGUCGACCGCCUGGGGAGUACGGCCGCAAGGUUAAAACUCAAAUGAAUUGACGGGGGCCCGCACAAGCGGUGGAGCAUGUGGUUUAAUUCGAUGCAACGCGAAGAACCUUACCUGGUCUUGACAUCCACGGAAGUUUUCAGAGAUGAGAAUGUGCCUUCGGGAACCGUGAGACAGGUGCUGCAUGGCUGUCGUCAGCUCGUGUUGUGAAAUGUUGGGUUAAGUCCCGCAACGAGCGCAACCCUUAUCCUUUGUUGCCAGCGGUCCGGCCGGGAACUCAAAGGAGACUGCCAGUGAUAAACUGGAGGAAGGUGGGGAUGACGUCAAGUCAUCAUGGCCCUUACGACCAGGGCUACACACGUGCUACAAUGGCGCAUACAAAGAGAAGCGACCUCGCGAGAGCAAGCGGACCUCAUAAAGUGCGUCGUAGUCCGGAUUGGAGUCUGCAACUCGACUCCAUGAAGUCGGAAUCGCUAGUAAUCGUGGAUCAGAAUGCCACGGUGAAUACGUUCCCGGGCCUUGUACACACCGCCCGUCACACCAUGGGAGUGGGUUGCAAAAGAAGUAGGUAGCUUAACCUUCGGGAGGGCGCUUACCACUUUGUGAUUCAUGACUGGGGUGAAGUCGUAACAAGGUAACCGUAGGGGAACCUGCGGUUG
rnacentral:rRNA from 1 species